AUUGAACGCUGGCGGCAUGCCUUACACAUGCAAGUCGAACGGCAGCACGGGUGCUUGCACCUGGUGGCGAGUGGCGAACGGGUGAGUAAUACAUCGGAACAUGUCCUGUAGUGGGGGAUAGCCCGGCGAAAGCCGGAUUAAUACCGCAUACGAUCUACGGAUGACAGCGGGGGACCUUCGGGCCUCGCGCUAUAGGGUUGGCCGAUAGCUGAUUAGCUAGUUGGUGGGGUAAAGGCCUACCAAGGCGACGAUCAGUAGCUGGUCUGAGAGGACGACCAGCCACACUGGGACUGAGACACGGCCCAGACUCCUACGGGAGGCAGCAGUGGGGAAUUUUGAACAAUGGGCGAAAGCCUGAUCCAGCAAUGCCGCGUGUGUGAAGAAGGCCUUCGGGUUGUAAAGCACUUUUGUCCGGAAAGAAAUCCUUGGCUCUAAUACAGUCGGGGGAUGACGGUACCGGAAGAAUAAGCACCGGCUAACUACGUG
rnacentral:rRNA from 1 species